GUCGAGCGAAUGGAUUAAGAGCUUGCUCUUAUGAAGUUAGCGGCGGACGGGUGAGUAACACGUGGGUAACCUGCCCAUAAGACUGGGAUAACUCCGGGAAACCGGGGCUAAUACCGGAUAACAUUUUGAACCGCAUGGUUCGAAAUUGAAAGGCGGCUUCGGCUGUCACUUAUGGAUGGACCCGCGUCGCAUUAGCUAGUUGGUGAGGUAACGGCUCACCAAGGCAACGAUGCGUAGCCGACCUGAGAGGGUGAUCGGCCACACUGGGACUGAGACACGGCCCAGACUCCUACGGGAGGCAGCAGUAGGGAAUCUUCCGCAAUGGACGAAAGUCUGACGGAGCAACGCCGCGUGAGUGAUGAAGGCUUUCGGGUCGUAAAACUCUGUUGUUAGGGAAGAACAAGUGCUAGUUGAAUAAGCUGGCACCUUGACGGUACCUAACCAGAAAGCCACGGCUAACUACGUGCCAGCAGCCGCGGUAAUACGUAGGUGGCAAGCGUUAUCCGGAAUUAUUGGGCGUAAAGCGCGCGCAGGUGGUUUCUUAAGUCUGAUGUGAAAGCCCACGGCUCAACCGUGGAGGGUCAUUGGAAACUGGGAGACUUGAGUGCAGAAGAGGAAAGUGGAAUUCCNUGUGUAGCGGUGAAAUGCGUAGAGAUAUGGAGGAACACCAGUGGCGAAGGCGACUUUCUGGUCUGUAACUGACACUGAGGCGCGAAAGCGUGGGGAGCAAACAGGAUUAGAUA
rnacentral:rRNA from 1 species